rnacentral:lncRNA from 1 species
ACUCCCAACUCGCAGGCAGAACGGGGCCAAGUCCACCUGGGCCUCGCGCUGCAGGGGGUGGUGCACGAAGAGAGGGUGUGUGUGUGUGUGUGUGUGUGUGUGUGUGUGUGUGUGUGUGUGUGUGUGUGUGUGCAUGGGGGGGCGGGGGGUAGGCAGGAGAGGCCAAGGGCAUACUCACAGACCAUCUGUUUUGGAUUUUUCUGGUAAUACAGAAAACCUCAGAGGACCUAGAGGUUGAUACCUGCCUGUCCAUUUCUCUCUUCAGCCCAGGUUCGGGAAAGCAAAUUCAGGCUGCAGGACAGCUGCCCGGGCCCCCCACAAGCCUGGCACCAGCCCAGGGAAGACUGAGGAGCCUCACUCCAUGGGGACUGAGCUCCUUCCCUUGCGUUCUGUUCCACACACUUUUUGGGCUGGAAGAAUCCCCUGGCUAGAGAAGCUCAUGUCCUGGUGGUGGAAGAGAUGCCGCCCUACAGCCCAAGGCCUUAUGCAAAGCAGCAAACACCUGAACACAGCGAACCUGAAGGUAUAGGGCAUCUUCAGGCUGCUACUGAGGCGGUCCUGCCGCACUCAACCCAGAACCUCAUCACUAAAAGGAACCUCAUGGUUCAGGCUAGAGUGCAGUGGCGCGAUCUCGGCUCACUGAAACCUCCGCCUCCCAGGUUCAAGCAAUUCUCCUGCUUCAGCCUCCCAAGUAGCUAGGAGUACAGACAUGGUCUCACUCUGUUAUCCAGGCUAGAGUGCAGUGGUGUGAUCUCAGCUCACUUCAACCUCUGGCUCAAGUGAUCCUCCCACCUCAGCCUCCCCAAGUAGCUGGGACUACAGGCACACGCCACCAGGCCCAGAUAAUUUUUUGUAUUUUCAGUAAAAACAGGGUCUCGCCAUGUUGCCCAGACUGGUCUUAAACUCCUGAGCUCAAGCGAUGUGCCUGCCUUGGCCUCCCCAAGUGCUGGGAUUAGAGGCAUAAGCCACCAUGUCUGGCCCCCAGUGGCUUCUAAUCCGCCCUAUCUAUCCAUCAAGCCUGGGUGGGGUGGGCUUGCUCAGUGUCCUUCAGAUUCCUUCAUCAAUUAACUCUUUUGUGUACGAGGGUGUCCCAAAAGCAGCAGCCGCGAGUAGAAUUUGCCUUGGGUCAUUGCUGUAGUCUCCCGCAUCCAGGAAAGAUCUAGGCCGCUCGCUUUCCACAAACCUUCUGGCUGAAACAAGCCACUUACCUGGCUGCAGUGAAGACACUGAUGCCGCUACUGAAGCUGGAGUCACAGGAACCAUCUGGACCUCCUGGGAGAGGAAGAGGAACAAGGGGUCAUGAAAGGCUGUUGGCUCUCUUGAAUAAACAAGACCCCUGUGACAAGCACACACAGAACUCUCCAGAGCCCCAUACCUUGAUUCAGGCUCUUCAAAAGGACCAUGGCUCUGGAGCCCUGAGGACCCAACCAACGCCCAGUCAUUCUCGAUAGUCCCCAAGCUUGUAAGUCUGUAGUCACAGUGAUCUCACAAGGAGGGGACACCAGUGCUAAACACAUCUGUCAAAUCUCAGAAGGGAUCACUGGCCUGAGGGGAAUGGAUGUUUAAAAUGACAGAUAAUACCCAGCAUCCUUAGCUAUCAGGAAAAUGCAAAUCCAAACCACAAGAUACUACUGUACACCCAUCAGGAUGGCUAAAAUAAAAGACAAAUAAUAGCAAGUGUUGAUGAGAAUGUGGAGAAACUGGAACCCUCGUACAUUGCUGGUGGGAAUGUAAAAUGGUGCAAGCUGCUUUGGAGAACAGUCUGGCCAUUCCUCCAAAGGCUAAACAUAGUCACCACAUGACUCAGCAGCUCCACUCCUAGGUAUAUGCCAAAGAGAAAUGAAAACUUAUGGCCACAUGAAACCUUGUAUAUCAAUCAUGUUCACAUCAGCAUUAUCUACAAUAGCCAAAAAGCAGAAGCAACCCAAAUAUCUAUCAACAGAUGAAUGGAUAAAUGAGGUGUGGUAUAGCCAUACAAUGGACUAUUAUUUGGCAAUAAAAAGGGAUGAAGUACUGAUGCACGCCAUAAAAAUGAACUUUAAAAACAUUGUGUUAAGUGAAAGAAGCCAGUCAUAAAAGACUACAUAUUGUAUCCCUUUCUCGAAAGUGUUUAGAACAGGCAAACCUAUGGAGACGGAAAAUGGACUGGAGGUUGCCUAGGACUGGAGGAGACGGGGGAAUAGGGUAUAAUGGCUAAUGGAUUCUUUCAAGGGCACGGAAAAUAUUCUAAAAUUGAUUGUGGUGAUGGUUACAUAACCCUGUGAAUCUACAAAGUCACUGAAUUGUACACUUGAUGUUGGGUGAAUUGUGUGGUACAUGAAUUCUAUCUCAAUAAAGGGCUUAAAAAAUGACUUUGGGGAAAGGACUGUGACUGCACUGUGUCUGUGCCCGAGUCUUCCUCCAAGUGGCCAACUCAAUACCUGUCUUAGUAUUUAACUUACCAUCAUAUAACCCAGGGUAGAAAAGCAUCUACCUGGCAUCGACUACUUAUUUUUCUCAGUUAAGGAAUAACCUUUAAAUUCCAACCUUUUUCUUUUGGCAUCUAAUCAAGUUUCCUAAAGAGCCAAGAUGUUCUAGAUCUGGAAAGCUGCUGGUAGGAUCCUGUUCCGCCUUCAGUCCCCGUCUAGGCACUGGCCACAGCUCUCACUGCACUGAGGAGGGAAGAGGGGGCUGGCAGUCCUGCAGUGCUUGGGGUGGGAGGUGCUAUAGGAAAAAAUUCCAGACUCCUGAUACUAAUUUUUUGUAGUUGUGAAAUAAUUUUAGAUGUACAGAAAAGUUGCAAAAAGAGUAAAGAAUUCUUUUUAUACCCUUUAGCCAGCUGCCCCUAAUGCUAACAUUGUACAUACCCAUAGUUCAAUUAUUAUUAUUAUUAUUUUUUUUUGAGAUAGAGUCUUGGCUCUGUUGCCCAGGCUGGAGUGUAGUGGCACAACCUUGGCUCACUGCAAUCUUCGCCUCCUGCACUCAAGAGAUUGAGCCCACCUCAGCUUCCAGGGUAGCUGGGACUAUAGGCACGUACCAUUAAGCCCGGAUAAUUUUUUUUUUUUUUGUAUUUUCAGUAGAGAUGGGGUUUUGUCGUGUUACCCAGGCUGGUUACAAACUCCUGGGCUCAAGUGAUCCACCCACCUCAGCCUCCCAAAGUGCUGGGAUUACAGGCGUGAGCCACCAUGCCCGGCUCCAUAGUUCAAUGAUCAAACCCAGAAGGUUAACUUCGAUACACUACCAUUAACUAAAUGAUUACCCUAAUUUGAACAUCACGAGUUUUUCCAUUCCUGGCCUUUUGUUCCAGGAUCUCACACUGCAUUUAGCUAAACUGUCUUCUUUGUCUCCUCCAAUCUGUUGCAGCCCCUCAAUCUGUGUGUCUUUCAUAAACUUGACACUUUUGAAGCGCUGGUCACUCUGCAGAAUGUCUCCCCGUUUGGGUUGGUCUCACGUUUUCUCACGAGUAGGGAG